UGGGGAAUAUUGCACAAUGGGGGAAACCCUGAUGCAGCGACGCCGCGUGAGCGAUGAAGGCUUUCGAGUCGUAAAGCUCUGUCCUAUGGGAAGAUAAUGACGGUACCAUAGAAGAAAGCCCCGGCUAAUUACGUGCCAGCAGCCGCGGUAAUACGUAAGGGGCGAGCGUUGUCCGGAAUUAUUGGGCGUAAAGAGUGCGUAGGCGGCAAAUUAAGUCAGAUGUGAAAACUAUGGGCUCAACCCAUAGAUUGCAUCUGAAACUGAUAUGCUUGAGUCAAGGAGAGGAAAGUGGAAUUCCUAGUGUAGCGGUGGAAUGCGUAGAUAUUAGGAGGAAUACCGGUGGCGAAGGCGACUUUCUGGACUUGAACUGACGCUGAGGCACGAAAGCGUGGGGAGCAAACAGG
rnacentral:rRNA from 1 species